CCUACGGGAGGCAGCAGUGGGGAAUUUUGGACAAUGGACGCAAGUCUGAUCCAGCAAUGCCGCGUGCAGGACGAAGGCCUUCGGGUUGUAAACUGCUUUUGUACGGAACGAAACGGUCUGCUUUAAUACAGUGGGCUAAUGACGGUACCGUAAGAAUAAGCACCGGCUAACUACGUGCCAGCAGCCGCGGUAAUACGUAGGGUGCGAGCGUUAAUCGGAAUUACUGGGCGUAAAGCGUGCGCAGGCGGUUAUAUAAGUCAGAUGUGAAAUCCCCGGGCUCAACCUGGGACCUGCAUUUGAGACUGUAUAGCUAGAGUACGGUAGAGGGGGAUGGAAUUCCGCGUGUAGCAGUGAAAUGCGUAGAUAUGCGGAGGAACACCGAUGGCGAAGGCAAUCCCCUGGACCUGUACUGACGCUCAUGCACGAAAGCGUGGGGAGCAAACAGGAUUAGAUACCCUGGUAGUCCACGCCCUAAACGAUGUCAACUGGUUGUUGGGUCUUCACUGACUCAGUACGAAGCUAACGCGUGAAGUUGACCGCCUGGGGGAGGUACGGCCGCGAGUAGUAACGUACGAAGUAGAGUUAGACGGCGUGAGACGUGACGACGGACGACGACGAGGGAGGAGG
rnacentral:rRNA from 1 species